UCCUCUCUCUUUACCUGUUUUCAACUAAUCCACAGAGAGAGAGAGAGAGCGAGAUAUGGGUGGAGGAGGAUUCCAAGUGAUGAGGAGAAUUCCCAGUAUCAAAUUCCCACUACGAUACCCAAAAUCCUCUGCGUCAGGUUCUGCACCAAGGUCAGAUGUUCCAGCAGCGCCCACCAACACUGCUGUUGGAGGGAAAGCUUCUCUUCAGCCAAAGCGCACACCUGUCACAGACAGGGAAAUAGAAGCUGUUCUGUUGGGUGGCUGCUUGUGACUUUCAGUGGACUGACCUCCGUGGAAGGAAGUGUUUGACAUUUGUUCUACCAUUUUCCAUCAUAUGAUAUAUGAAACUACUACUACUACUACAGUGAACUGUUGUAUUUUAACAGUGCCUGGCAAUUCAUAAAUCAGCUAAAUAUGUAAUCAUAUGCUGAACUAGAACUUAAGCCUGAAGGUCGAAUACCGUCAACUCAUUACUUUCAUUUCCAUUUCCUUUUUAUCCUUUUCUUUAGCAGCAGCCACGAGAGCCAUAUAUGGCAAGGCCACCACCUUACAGAGCUCUAUAGCAUCAAGUGGCUGCCCAUAUGCUUCUAUGUUAAUAUAUGUGAUUUGAGCUCCAAUCUCUCUCCCCAUUUUGUGUAAGAACACAGUACUUGAGAAAAUGUUUGGGCUUUGUCAUAGUAUCAAAAUUCUUGUGAAAA